GAAACACGGACCAAGGAGUCUAGCAUGUGCGCGAGUCAUUGGGACACAACUAAACCUAAAGGCGCAAUGAAAGUGAAGGUCUGCCUUGCGCAGACCGAGGGAAGAUGUUCGGUCCACUCCGGUGGCCGUUCCGCACUCCCGGGGCGUCUCGUUCUCAUCGCGAGAAGAGGCGCACCAAGAGCGUACACGCUGGGACCCGAAAGAUGGUGAACUAUGCCUGGUCAGGACGAAGUCAGGGGAAACCCUGAUGGAGGUCCGUAGCGAUUCUGACGUGCAAAUCGAUCGUCGGAACUGGGUAUAGGGGCGAAAGACUAAUCGAACCAUCUAGUAGCUGGUUCCCUCCGAAGUUUCCCUCAGGAUAGCUGGCGCUCGUUGCGCACGAGUCUCAUCCGGUAAAGCGAAUGAUUAGAGGCAUUGGGGUCGAAACGGCCUCAACCUAUUCUCAAACUUUAAAUGGGUGAGAUCUCCGGCUUGCUUGAACUAUUGAAGCCGCGAGAAACGGAUCAGAGUGCCAAGUGGGCCAUUUUUGGUAAGCAGAACUGGCGCUGUGGGAUGAACCAAACGCCGAGUUAAAGCGCCUAAAUCGACGCUUAUGGGAUACCAUGAAAGGCGUUGGUAACUUAAGACAGCAGGACGGUGGCCAUGGAAGUCGGAUCCCG
rnacentral:rRNA from 1 species